GUAGGGAAUAUUGGACAAUGGGCGAAAGCCUGAUCCAGCCAUGCCGCGUGAUAGAUGAAGGCCCUCUGGGUUGUAAAUAUCUUUUAUCUGGGAAGAAACUCCUCUAUUCUUAGAGGCCUGACGGUACCAGAGGAAUAAGCACCGGCUAACUCCGUGCCAGCAGCCGCGGUAAUACGGAGGGUGCAAGCGUUAUCCGGAUUCACUGGGUUUAAAGGGUGCGUAGGCGGGUUGAUAAGUCAGUGGUGAAAGCUCCGGGCUUAACUUGGAAACUGCCAUGUAUACUGUCAGUCUUGAAUGUCGUAGAGGUAAGCGGAAUGUUGCAUGUAGCGGUGAAAUGCUUAGAUAUGUUACAGAACACCAAUUGCGAAGGCAGCUUACUAUGCGAUAAUUGACGCUGAGGCACGAAAGCGUGGGGAGCAAACAGGAUUAGAAACCCUGGUAGUCC
rnacentral:rRNA from 1 species